GCAGGAAGGGGGUGAUCAGGACCUGGUGGACAGGAGCCCUGGGGUGUAUGUGUGUAGCACAUAAGGCAUGUAACACCCCGUGGUGUUACAUCCGGUGAGAAGCUCCCCCCCCCCCCCCCCACUCUUUACCAUCUGCUGCUCCCCUCUCCGUCUGGCUGUCUCUCCCUUCUCAUUUCUCAUACACUUCCUUUCACUUGCAGGGGACCUGAGCUGAGCAGAGUUGAAUCCAUGCACAUGUGUAUCUGUGUGUGUGUGUGUGUGUGUGUGUGUGUGUAUGUAUGAAAUGUGGGCUGAGCCUGGGUCCUUGAAGAGCCCCUAAGGGUGGCAGAGUGGGGCUUGGUGAAGUAGCUGAAAGGGGAGCUAGGCUGAUGGGACCCAUCCUUGGUUAUGGGCUCCCUCUUAAGCCAAGGCUGAGUCAGCUUUUUGUUUCCUGUCUUCCCUCACAGGCCAAUUCUCCCCCAGUGAUUGUCAACACAGAUACCCUAGAAGCCCCAGGAUAUGUGAGUUGUUUAGAUUUUGGGGUAGGGACCAUUGCAGA
rnacentral:lncRNA from 1 species